UCCUGGUUAACCCAGGCAGUCUCAUUAGAGUUCCCACCUUAAAUGUUGGCAACUAAUGAUAAGGGUUGCGCUCGUUGCGGGACUUAACCCAACACCUCACGGCACGAGCUGACGACAGCCAUGCAGCACCUGUGCAUAUGUCCCGAAGGAAGAUCUCAUUUCUGAGACUGUCAUAUGCAUGUCAAGUCUGGGUAAGGUUCUUCGCGUUGCAUCGAAUUAAACCACAUGCUCCACUGCUUGUGCGGGUCCCCGUCAAUUCUUUUGAGUUUCAGCCUUGCGACUGUACUCCCCAGGCGGUAUACUUAACGCGUUAGCUUCGGCACAACCGGGGUUGAAUCCAGUUACACCAAGUAUACAUAGUUUACGGCAAGGACUAC
rnacentral:misc_RNA from 1 species